rnacentral:lncRNA from 1 species
UUUUGUUUUUCUUUACUGUUUGGGUUCCUAUUGUUCUAGUCUCUUCUGAACACCUACACUUCUCUGGUCCUCCAAAUUCCAUUGAUUUUGUGUUAUUAACAUUUCUUACAUUUUCUUCUACUUUACUGAUUGAAUUUUCUUUCAGAUUUUAUCAUUUAUUACCUCCUAUGCAAAGUUUUCUUUAUUGAAUUAUUUUUACGUGUCAUCAUUGGCUUAUUUUAGUCAUACAUUCGUAAAUUUUCCUUUUUCUCAGCUUGAUCUCUCUGUUUUUGUCCUUAUUCAUGUUUCAUAGAUGUUCUCUUUUGCUCUUGCAAACAAUCAUGAAGUUUUCACCAUUUGUCUGAAAAACAAAAUAUUUUGCAGGCAUUAAAAUUAUUUCCUGUGGCGAUGCCUCCUCUGCCUUUUUUCCCUGCCAUAUUGUUUUAGAUGUGUUUCAAUAUUUGAGAAAGUGCUAGUAGAAUGGAAACAAACCUUGGCUAGUUCAGAAUUGACAGAGCAUCAUCCAAAAUGUUAUGCUUUUCAGGUGAGCCAAAAAAUUCUCAUGUUAUUAGAGGGGGCAAUUGUGUGGCUUUAAGAUAAACUUAUUAAAAGAUAUACAAAUAUAUGUUAAGAGGCCAUUGAUAAAUUUUGUAUGUUUUAUUGAGGCACUCAGCAGUCCUAGAGAAACUAUAUGUCAUCCAAACUGGGACUGUUUUGACAGUAAAAGGAGCACUAUAUUAAUACUUAGACCAGAAAAAAUGGGUAUCAACUGAGACAGUUGUAAGCAAAGUGAGAUAAGUAGACACUCUGUGUAGUUAUGCAGCAAUUGGUUGCAUCUUCAAUAUCUGUGUGAACCCAGCAUGUGGGAAAAAGUAAUUCUUCCCUUCUUCCAACCAUCCUUUAAUCACUUCCCACAAAAGAUACAUUUAGUGGCUCUUCCAUCAAGAUGGAACGUUCAGCAUUUGGACUGCUCUUCUCUGUAGUCUAGCUUCUGUUUCUGUGUGCUUUUCUGAUAUUUUAAUAGGAUGUUGGAAAGGAGGUACAACAGGGAUAACUUGCUUUCUGCCUUGCUCACUGACAAGCCUUAAAGGUUAUAUUUAGUGAAUUGCACCAGUGACGUGUUUUAUUUGGCUCAGAAAGCACAAAAGGUCUUCUAUCCCCGUAAGGAAGUAUGCCAGUUUCUCACCUAGGCAUAAUUUGAGGAACAUACUCCGUGAAAGGGGUCAAUGUUUUGUCAGGUUGAGCACCAUGAUUACUAGUGCCACAGCUGUUAUCACUUAGGUAGGCUUUGAUGGGAAACAUAGGCUCUCAUGCUGGGGAAAGGUAGGAUAAAAUGUGUAGAACAGGUGUUGGGAAAGAGACAAAUCCUGGAUCAGUUGGACCCCUCUGUCAAAAAGUCAAAUAAAGCAUAUGCGAAUUUGCUCUAAGUAGAGAACAUAUAAUCUAGAGGGUGUAAAGAGCUCAUGAUAGCCAGAAAUUUUAGGGCCUACGUAAUCCCCCAAUUUAAAUGUGGAAAUAUCAUGGUUCUGUGUAGUCAGUGAAUUUUAGUAGUUCGUAUUAAUGAGCACUUGCUGAAUGCCAUGUACUGUUAUAGGUGCAUUAUCUUCAUUAACUCAUUCAUUCUUCACAAUAACCCUAUGAGAACAGAUAGUAUUAUCUCACUUUACUUGUGAGGAAAUCAGGGCUCCAAGAGAAUACUUGUGGCAAGCGAGGCAGCUGAGAUUUAUACAAAGGUCCAUGGUGCAGUAGCCCAAGUCCUUAACCCCUCUAUGUGAUAUGCUGCAUUUGUAGUACUAACUCACACAGAUAAUGAUGAUCCAGUCCCUUGAGAUAAGUGUCUUACAAGACCUAAUAGGAUGCCAGGUUUUCAGUCAAUCUGAUGGAGUUUUACGGGUUUUUUGUUUCAAGUUUCUAUUUAAAUUCUAGUUAGUUAACAUAUAGUGUAAUAUUGAUUUCAGGAGUAGAAUUUAGUGACUCAUCACUUACAUAUCAUACCCAGUGCUCAUCCCAACAAGUGCCCUCCUUAAUGCCCAUCACCCAUCCAACCCAUCCCUCCAUCAUCCUUCAGUUUGUUCUCUAUAAUUAAGAAUCUCUUAUGAUUUCCUUCCCUCUCUUUUUUCCCUCUUCCUCUAUGUUUAUCUUUUUUGUUCCUUAAAUUCCACACAUGAGUACAAUCACAUGGUAUUUAUCUUUCUAUGACUGACUUGUUUUGCUUAGCAUAAAACACUCUAGCUCCAUCCACAUCAUUACAAAUAGCAAAAUUUCCUUCUUUUUGAUGGCCAAGUAAUAUUCCACUGUAUAUAGGUAUAUAUGUGUGUACAUAUGUAUAUAUAAAUUUAUAUAUAUGUAUAUAAAAUAUAUAAAUAUAUAUUAUAUAUUGUUAUAUAUAUUUAUAUGUACAUACGAAUUUCCUUCUUUUGAUAGCUGAGUAAUAUUCCACUGUAUGUAUGUGUGUAUAUGUAUACACACGUAUGUAUAUAUACACACGCCACAUAUAUAUACAUGUAUGAUAUAUAUACACACAUAUAUAUACAUCUUCUUUUUUUAAGAUUUUAUUUAUUUAUUCAUGAGAGACAUGGAGAGAGAGGCAGAGACAUAGGCAGAGGGAGGAGCAGGCUCCAUGCAGGGAGCCCAAUGCAAGACUCGAUCCUGGCACUCCAGGGUCAGCAGAAGGCAGAUGCUCAACCUCUGAGCCAUCCAGGUGUCCCAACCACAUCUUGUUUAUCCAUUCAAUCAGAUGGAGUUUCAUCACAGGAUAGUGUUAAUAUCUGAUAAGAGGGAGGGUUAGCAAAACAGCAAAAAUCUGAAGGCCAGUUGUAUGGAUGAACGAAUAAAACAGUGAAGGGAGCACUAGGGAAAACUUGUACUCAAAGGCCACACAGAUCUAGCUAUAGGGCUUACCAAAACAUGCCAUGCCUUGGAUAACAUGACAGAUCCCAGAUCCUGGAUGAGUUGGGUCAUGCUCAUACAUCUAAUGUCAGUCUGGUCAAAAUUAACUCAGGAUCAGGCAGGAUGGGUAAAGAGGUGCCCCUGAUCUUGAAAUUAGAAGUAAUAGACUGACUCAGGGUGCCUGGGUGGCUCAGUUGGUUGAGUAUCUGCCUUCAGCUCAGGUCAUGAUCUCGGGGUCUUCGAUCAAGCCCCGAGCUGGGUUCCCUGCUCAGCAGGGAGUCUGCUUCUCCCUGUGCCCCUCACUCUGCUCAUGUUUGCUCUCUCUCGCUCUCAAAUAAAUAAAAUUUUUAAAAAAGAAGUGAUAGUACUGAUUCUAGCUUGCAGGAGCUGAGAAAUCAACAAUUUUAAUAUCUUCAGAGAACUUCCCUUGUUAAAGACUUCUCUAAAGUUUGAAAUUGAAGACAAAAGAGAAGUCAUUCAUGAGUAAGAGACACACUGGGGCAAUGAAAGUCUUAUAUUGAAACAUUGUUUCAAAUGUUUUGGAAGGAAAACAUUAGAUUUAAAAUUCAGUUACAUCAUGUAAUUAUAUUUAAUAUUGUCUAUGAAUAGAGAUCUAUUUAAUGAUUCCAAGUUGAGAAAAUAAUUUUUGACAUCUGUUUCAAUAUUUUGGCUGUAUUCCUGACAAGUAGAAUUUCAAAGAUAGUUCAGUGGAGGCUCACUCAUCAUGAGAAAGAAAGAAGCUAGAAAAGACAAUGAAUUGAGGUAUUGAAGCAUCCUUUGGGACAUAUGGCAAAUGACUUUUUCUAAAGAAAGAAAGAAAUUGAACCAUUAUACAAAAGAAAGGUGUAUUUGAGGAUCAAAAUUCAAAGCGAGCAUCUUCCCUGUUCUUCACAUUCGGGUGAAGCCCAGGAAAGCAGGAAUUCAUGGAUAGAGAUGGGAUUUCAUGGUGACAAAAAUGUUCAACUAUGGCUAGUCAUGUAGGGGAAGGCAAGCAGUAGAGUCAGCGAGGUAUGUGUGCAACGAAGUAAAAGUUGGGUCAGUCAUGUUUUACAGAUCCAUCCUAGGAAGUGCCCAGGGCCAUCAAAGCCAGAUUGACAUUAUUGCAGACAUUUUCAGGUUUGUUUGUAGAAACAGUGAAGAGGAAGACGUUACUCAGUGUCAAAAAAAUAUAGAUUAGUAUUUUCAAAAUGACUCAGUGGGGUGGGCUGCUGUAGGGGUGGUGAAAACUUUAUUUUCUGAAGUAUAAGCCACAAUAUACAACCCCAUUAAGGUAUUCUCACAUUUUAUCCUCACAACCCUUUGUGGUAGGAUACUGCCAUUAUCUGCAUUUUAGAGAUGAAGAACCUGAGGCUCAGAGAGGUAAAGUAACUUGCUUAAGCACACAUACAUGGUAAUUUGGAAUUUGGUUCUACUACAAAGGUCAGUGAUAAAGAUUAAAUUAACAUAUCUAAAAUGUUCAGAAUGGUGCAUAUUACCUAAGUGUGCAAAGAAUGUCUUUACUGUUGCUGUUGUUUGUUGUUAUGGUUAUUUUUGUUGUGAACAUAAAGAGCUUAAGAGACCAAAAAAAAAAAAAAAAAAAAAAAA